ACAAGUAUUGAAGGUGAUGCCUGCCCAGUGACUCACGUUCAACGGCCGCGGUAUCCUAACCGUGCAAAGGUAGCGCAAUCAAUUGUCCCAUAAAUCGAGACUAGUAUGAAUGGCUAAACGAGGUCUUAACUGUCUCUUACAGGCAAUCGGUGAAAUUGAUCUCCCUGUACAAAAGCAGGGAUAACCCCAUAAGACGAGAAGACCCUGUGGAACUUUAAAAUCAGCAACCACCCUAAAAUACUUAUACUCCUACUAGGUUUACUAACACAUUAGGAUUCUGGUCUGCAUUUUUCGGUUGGGGCGACCUUGGAGCAAAACAAAACCUCCAAAAACUAGACCAAACCUCUAGACUAAGAGCAACCCCUCAACGUGCUAAUAGCACCCAGACCCAAUAUAAUUGAUCAAUGGACCAAGCUACCCCAGGGAUAACAGCGCAAUCUCCUCCGAGAGUCCGUAUCGACGAGGAGGUUUACGACCUCGAUGUUGGAUC
rnacentral:rRNA from 1 species